AUAAUGAGUAAUGAUUUAAUUAUUUAUAUAUUUACAGUGGUGGAGCAAGUUGGACUUAGUGCCUCUCUUUAUAGUCGCUCAAUCCAAGAUGAUCAUAUAUGUUUACUAGUCAAACAUUUGAAUCCUAACAGGUUGAGUGUGGAUGGAAAAAGUACAAAUGACCAAUUACUGUCCAGUCUAUUAGAU